rnacentral:rRNA from 1 species
UGGGGAAUUUUGGACAAUGGGCGCAAGCCUGAUCCAGCCAUUCCGCGUGAGUGAAGAAGGCCUUCGGGUUGUAAAGCUCUUUCGCAAGGGAAGAAACGAUACGAGCGAAUAACUCGUGUUAAUGACGGUACCUUGAUAAGAAGCACCGGCUAACUACGUGCCAGCAGCCGCGGUAAUACGUAGGGUGCGAGCGUUAAUCGGAAUUACUGGGCGUAAAGCGUGCGCAGGCGGUUUUGUAAGUCAGAUGUGAAAGCCCCGGGCUCAACCUGGGAACUGCGUUUGAAACUACAAGGCUAGAGUAUGGCAGAGGGGGGUAGAAUUCCACGUGUAGCAGUGAAAUGCGUAGAGAUGUGGAGGAAUACCAAUGGCGAAGGCAGCCCCCUGGGUCAAUACUGACGCUCAUGCACGAAAGCGUGGGGAGCAAACAGG